GGAAGUAUGGCCCAGUGGUGAGGGCGCUAGCCUGGGAUGUCAGAGACGUGCGUUCACUUCCC
rnacentral:tRNA from 1 species